AUGAAGUUUCAAAGUAGAAGAAAAAGGAACAGUCGAGGAUACGUCUCUAUAGAGAAUAGAGACGUAUCCUCGACUGUUCCUUUUUCUUCUACUUUGAAACUUCCUCUUU
rnacentral:pre_miRNA from 1 species